AACGAACGCUGGCGGCAUGCCUAACACAUGCAAGUCGAACGAUUGCCUUCGGGUGAUAGUGGCGCACGGGUGCGUAACGCGUGGGAAUCUGCCCUUAGGUUCGGAAUAACAGCUGGAAACGGCUGCUAAUACCGGAUGAUAUCGCGAGAUCAAAGAUUUAUCGCCUGAGGAUGAGCCCGCGUUGGAUUAGGUAGUUGGUGGGGUAAAGGCCUACCAAGCCGACGAUCCAUAGCUGGUCUGAGAGGAUGAUCAGCCACACUGGGACUGAGACACGGCCCAGACUCCUACGGGAAGCAGCAGUGGGGAAUAUUGGACAAUGGGCGCAAGCCUGAUCCAGCAAUGCCGCGUGAGUGAUGAAGGCCCUAGGGUUGUAAAGCUCUUUUACCCGGGAAGGUAAUGACUGUACCGGGAGAAUAAGCCCCGGCUAACUCCGUG
rnacentral:rRNA from 1 species